CACCGCGGUUAUACGAGAGGCUCAAGUUGAUAAAAACGGCGUAAAAGGUGGCUAGGAAACAAACAAACUAAAGCCGAACAUCUUCAAAGCCGUCGCACGCAAACGAAGAAAUGAAGUACUCCCACGAAAGUGGCUUUAAACCUCCGAACCCACGAAAGCUAGGGCA
rnacentral:rRNA from 1 species